rnacentral:rRNA from 1 species
UACCAGCACCCCGAGUGGUCGGGACGUUUAUUGGGCCUAAAGCAUCCGUAGCCGGUUCUACAAGUCUUCCGUUAAAUCCACCUGCUUAACAGAUGGGCUGCGGAAGAUACUAUGGAGCUAGGAGGCGGGGAGAGGCAAGCGGUACUCGAUGGGUAGGGGUAAAAUCCGUUGAUCCAUUGAAGACCACCAGUGGCGAAGGCGGCUUGCCAGAACGCGCUCGACGGUGAGGGAUGAAAGCUGGGGGAGCAAACCGG